CUACCAUUCAAAUAACACAAGACCAAUCAACACACAAUGCAGACUCCUUUUUGACAUGGGAGUUUUCACUGUGUACAAUGUAAAGAUAUUUGGCACCGGGACAAGACUUUAUGUGACAGACCAGGAAGUCCAAAAACCCAUCGUGUCGAUCUACCCACUGUCUAACCCUGAGCCAAUGGGAAACACCACCCUGCUAUGUUUGGCUAAGGACAUGUUCCCAGACUUAGUCAAGAUCUCAUGGAAGAUGAGGAAUGAGAAUGGCACAGCAGAAGAGAUUCCUCAAGAAGAGAAGGAACAGCUGGAACAGAUGGAACAGAUGGAUGAAGGACAGACGACCAGUAUGAUCAUCAUUGAUGGAGAGAAGGCCGAUGUUAAUAAAUACAUCUGUUGGGUGGAGCAUGAAGUAUGCAAUAUACCUGACACAAGAACAGAAACAGAAUCGAUCGAUGCCAUGUGUCGUCUGAACCUGGCUUUUCUGGCUUAUACGUUAAUGAUAGCUAAGAGCCUGGUGUACUGCUGCGGGUUUGGUCUCCUGCUUCAACUCAGGAACAUGGGAAGUAGACAUCUGUUUAAGUUGUCAAUUUGUUACAAGUGAAAUCGAGAACAAUUUGUUACAAGUGAAAUCAAAAACAAAUUUUAGAUCCAUGUCAGUGGAUCUAAAAUAGAAGUCUCAUGUUGUUUUCAUGUGAUUUAAUGCCAACAUUAAAAAAAACUGCAGAAUGUAUCUAUUAUCAUUUUGGCAGAGUUGUAGUGGGACGGGAACACAAAUAUAAUACAUCCCAUUAGAGUAGCAGCCCACAUUUCAACUGUAUAUCUUUAAAAACAAUUCCUGCCAUUGAUUGUCAAUAUUACGCUUUCAAAAAAAAAGAAAAAGCUAAUUCCUACUAAGCAAAGAAAUUGUUGAGUGUCUGCU
rnacentral:lncRNA from 1 species